rnacentral:lncRNA from 1 species
AAACGCAUAACAAUACGCACAUUAAAAUUCAGUUCAAGAGAAAUCCGAGUCUGAUGUCAGAACAUGUAACCAAAGAAAAUAAACAAAAUGACAAUAAUACAUAAAUAACAACAGACUACUAGCAGUUAACUGACAUGCCAGCUCCAGACUUCAAUUAAACUGACUGAAAGAUUAUGAUUUCAUCAUAUGAACAUCAGGCACAAUCCUUCCCGUUAGGGGUUUAGUAUCAUGCCAUCAUAACAUAUAUGAGAAGAACAUAACCCGUGUCAUGCCAACAACUGUUUUUAGAAUAAAUGUGUUUAGUUCCGAUGCAAAGACCUUAUCAGUGACUCAAUAUUAACGCCAAAAUAUGCAAUCUUUAAUGA